GUUAACAAAUGAAAUAGUUUUAUAAUAAUUUCAACAAAUACUUUCUAUGUGCUAAAUUUGGUGUUUCCAUAUAGUUUGCACAGUAAUAUAGUAUGUAAGCAGUCUUUACUAUAGUAAAAUAAUGUUAAAAAGUGAAAUAGUUUUAUAAUCAUUUCAAAAAAUACUUUCUAUGUGCUAAAUUUGGUGUUUCCAUAUAGUUUGCAAAGUAAUGUAGUACGUUAUAAUUACCUUUUGGAUGUCUUUGCAACAAAUUUUCGUCUUCGUUUAGCAUUCUGGCAGAGCUAAGGACACCUAAAAAAGUUAAAUCCAAUCGCGUUCAUUGACGGAGAUCGUUUAUAUUGUAACGGCCGUAUGAACUCUCUGGAUCGAGCUUGAAGUGGUAAGGCAGUACAGACACCAUCGUUUAUAGAGAAAUAUAGCGCUUGUUUACGUUGCCUGUGACUCUCAGUCAGAACCGGAAAACCCACGCGUAGUCAGGGGCGUAACCUUUCAAACACACGCUGAACCCAGUUGACCAAUAACAGUUGAGUAGUCAUCUGACCAAUCCGAAUACACUAGACAUUUUGGGAGGCGGAGACAGGAACUAAAUCCGAGCGUUUUCCAGACAGGCAGAAAUCGGUGAGGUAUGUAAGCAAUUUAUAAGACUCACAGUGCAUUAAUUAAAGUUUUAAUAACAUGUAUGUACUAUGGGAUAUUGCAAUAACGUGCUAACGUGCUAAUUUAUUAGCAUAAUUGGUGCUCUUUAAGCUUGCAAGCUAAUUGUUUUGUGUUGUAAUACUGUAUUUCAUAAACAACGUACCAUACUUACACACGUGUAUGUUGAAUUAUGCAGGCUUUCGUUUUUUUUUAUCAAUGUUGGUUUAGACAUGUUUACAAACUUGCUAAGAUAAAUACAAAUACAAAUGCCAGCUAAACUGUUACCGGUAAAAUUUGUUCUCACGAUCAAACUCAAGAAACUCUAAGUACAGAUGAUUUGUUUAAAGUUAUAUGUAUUUUACUGUUGUAUUUACUUGAAGCUUUCUUAGAUUUUGAAACGAAGUAAACACGUAAUGUGUGUUGCUAAUGUUGGGCCAUGUAAUAUGUAAUACAUUUACGUUUUAAUGAAUAGUUUAACGAUUUAUAGUCGUUGUACUCUAUUGUUAUAAUAUUUAUUUUUGACCGAAUACAUGUUUGUUUUAUUUGUCUAUAUCCUAGAUUCGCAACUGUACACAUCCUUCUACACUGUAUGCAAACAUGCAACAUCAUUACACACAGUACAAGGAGUCAGACUGGCAUAUGAGGAGCAAAGGAACCCAGGCAGUAGCAUCGUUUCACAAUGUUUCCAUCAUCAUCAUCAGUGGAUGCCUUUGCCGUCCGUAGCCUGAGAUUUCAGAUUUGCAGCAAAAAAAAUUUGAUUUUCUCAUUUAUUGGAAUGCUGUGCAGGUAUUUGUACCUUGCAGCCAUCCAUUACAAUGUCACCAAGCCGUAACAAAAGCAGGAGAGGUUAUGUGGAUGAUGUGAUCAGGCUUGUGUUUGAAGAGGUAUUUGAAGAUAAGCUGAAGGAAACCCCGAUUCCAAUGGACCUGGCAUCACAGUUUGAGAGACCUUCAAAAGAGGACGUGAUUGCAUGCCAUCUUCAGUGCAGGGGUCGUCGAAAGCCAAAAUUGUGACCGAUCUGAUCAGGAAGCUCCAAGCGUAUCUGGAGAACAACACACGACAGGAUGAUAACCUUAUAGUGUCGUCUUAAAUAGCACCAGCUGACAAAGCUUUGCUGUGCCAUUUAUCUGAAUAGAUAGCUGUAAGAAAUGAAUUGAACAAUUUUUGAAACAAGAGCACAAUAUGGUUACUAAAGU